AGCGCUUGUGACCAGACUUGCGCCCGGUGAAUCACCCAGCUCUCGCGGCUGGGGCACUUUGCCGGCACAGGCCAGCAUCAGCUUGCCGUCGGGGACAAAAGCUUCAGGAACGUAGCUCUCUUCGGGGAGUGUUAUAGCCUGUUGCAUAAUACCCUUCGGCGGGCUGAGGUACGCGCUCCGCAAGGAUGCUGGCGUAAUGGUCAUCAGCGACCCGUCUUGAAACACGGACCA
rnacentral:rRNA from 1 species